AUGUCAUGUCAUAUCGGUUUGCAGAUCGCCUCUCGGCGACGUCUAACGCUGGCACCCUGCUGGUUGUCGGCGCCUCAGUCGGCAGGCUCGGGUGGUUCUCGAUACUCAUGCCUGGUGAUGCUAGAAGAGGAGGAGGACGUGGUCCAGGCGGAGACUGACGCCGCGAAUCUCUCCCUCCACGGUGGUCCACUCACAGCUCAUACGGUUCGCCGGCCGAAGACUGACGAGGAGCUUGCCGAUGAGUUCUGGGUGGAUAUCGGAUUUCCAACCCCGGCGUCUAGGGUUUGGGAGAGGCUAGCGUCUUGUUCAAGCGGCGAUCGUGUGGCCGUGUGCAGUUCAUCCACGGGCGUCCGCCCGUCGCCUACAACUAGUAAGGCGGCCUAUGCGGCCUCAGCCACGGCUGCAGAGAAGGCGACUCCGGUCGCGGCGGUUCUGCCGAGACAAUGGUCACCUGCUCCACCCGUCGCCUCCAUCUUUCCUGCCCGGGGUAGGUCCAUGGUUAAGCCAUGGAUUGGGCCAAUCCCGCUGCCUAGAACAUCACUGCCGAGGAUGAUCGGUGACUUUCUGUCGACGGUUGGGUCCCGUUGUGCUGCGGCCUCGCCGGAGUUCUGUGAACCAGCGCUCACACCUACCCAGGCUGGUGGCUAG
rnacentral:rRNA from 1 species